AGAGAGAGACAUGCGCGCAUAUCAAUAAGCGGAGGAAAAGAAACUAACAAGGAUUCCCCUAGUAACGGCGAGUGAAGCGGGAAGAGCUCAAAUUUGAAAUCUUAAAGGGUUUCCCUUUACGAAUUGUAGUUUAAAGAAGUGUUUUCUGUUGAGGUUUUGGUAAAAGUUCUUUGGAAUAGGACAUCAUAGAGGGUGAGAAUCCCGUAUUUGACCUUUACUUUCAACUUUGUGAUACACAUUCAAAGAGUCGGAUUGUUUGGGAAUGCAGUCCAAAAUGGGUGGUAAAUUUCAUCUAAAGCUAAAUAUUGGCGAGAGACCGAUAGCGAACAAGUACCGUGAGGGAAAGAUGAAAAGAACUUUGAAAAGAGAGUUAAACAGUACGUGAAAUUGUCAAAAGGGAAGCGUUUGACACCAGUGUUGUUUUUCUGAAAAUCAAUUAAAGAACUGUUUAUGCUAAGUCUGUUUAGACUUUAUCAGCUAAUCUGUUUAGUUUUGAGCUUUUCUUUAAUGCACUUUUCAGUUAACAAGUCAACAUCAAUUUCUUUUGCUGUAAAAAAGCUUGAGGAAGGUGGCUUGAGAUUCGUCUUAAGUGUUUAUAGCCUCUUGCCUAUGCAGUCGGAGAGAUUGAGGUCUGCAGCGUAGAUCCUUCGGGGCUAAAUGCAUUUGUGCUAAGUUAUAGCAUUUUCAUAGACAACUUGUUGACUAUGAUCUGUCAUGUAGCUUACUCGCUUAUGCUAUUUUACCUACGCUUAGGAUGUUGAUGUGAUACUGCGAGCA
rnacentral:rRNA from 1 species